rnacentral:rRNA from 1 species
UUGCGGUUAAAAAGCUCGUAGUUGGAUUUCUGUCGGUGAGUUGCAGUCCGGCCACUGUGCUUGGUACUUGUAACGCCACCGGCAUCUUCCUGGGGACUGUGUCUGCUCUUCGUUGAGUGGCUCAUAAUCCAGGACUUUUACUUUGAAGAAAUAGGAGUGUUUCAAGCAGGCAUGCGCCGUGAACACGUUAGCAUGGAAUAAUAGCAUCGGACCUCGUUCCAAAGCUGUUGGUUUCUUGGACCGAGGUAAAGGUGAAUAGGGAUUGUUGGGGGCAUUCGUAUUUAACUGUCAGAGGUGAAAUUCUUGGAUUUGUUGAAGACGGACUACUGCGAAAGCAUCUGCCAAAGAUGUACUCAUUGAUCAAGAACGAAAGUUAGGUGAUCGAAGACGAUCAGAUACCGUCCUAGUCUUAACCAUAAACUAUGCCGACUGGAGAUCGGGGGUCGUUAACUUUGUGACGCCCUCUGCAUCUUGAGAGAAAUCAAAGUCUUUGGGUUCCGGGGGGAGUAUGGUCGCAAGGCUGAAACUUAAAGGAAUUGACGGAAGGGGCACCACCAGGAGUGGAGCCUGCGGCUUAAUUUGACUCAACAC